CGCUCCCCGAUAAAUAACAACAUGAGGAGUCCUGCCUGCCCAGUGACUAAAGGUUAAACGGCCGCGGUAUCUUGACCGUGCGAAGGUAGCAUAAUCAUUUGUCUUCUAAAUAAAGACUAGUAUGAAUGGCAAGACGGAACUGAACUGUCUCUUUUCCAAAUAAUCCGAAUUUCACUUCUCCGUGAAGAGGCGGAGGGUAAAAUCGUUAGACGAGAAGACCCUGUCGAGCUUUUAGCAAAAACUUAACUAGUAAAACACUUAAACUACUCUAGUAAAUGAAUGUAAGUAUAAUUAAGCUACUAAGAUUAAGUAAAGCUUUGGUUGGGGCAACCGCGGAGUAAAAGAAACCUCCGCUAAAAAAAUAUUAACCACUAAACUAAGGACUACCAUCCUAUAAUCAUAAAUGAUUAAAUUGAUCCAUUUAGAUGACCAAAGGAACAAGUUACCGCAGGGAUAACAGCGUUAUCUUUUCUGAGAGUUCACAUUGACGAAAAGGUUUGCGACCUCGAUGUUGGAUCGGGACAUCCUAAAGGUGCAGAAGCUUUUAAGGGUUGGUCUGUUCGACCAUUAAAGUCCUACG
rnacentral:rRNA from 1 species